AGAGUUUGAUCCUGGCUCAGAGCGAACGCUGGCGGCAGGCUUAACACAUGCAAGUCGAGCGGGCGUAGCAAUACGUCAGCGGCAGACGGGUGAGUAACGCGUGGGAACGUACCUUUUGGUUCGGAACAACACAGGGAAACUUGUGCUAAUACCGGAUAAGCCCUUACGGGGAAAGAUUUAUCGCCGAAAGAUCGGCCCGCGUCUGAUUAGCUAGUUGGUGAGGUAAUGGCUCACCAAGGCGACGAUCAGUAGCUGGUCUGAGAGGAUGAUCAGCCACAUUGGGACUGAGACACGGCCCAAACUCCUACGGGAGGCAGCAGUGGGGAAUAUUGGACAAUGGGGGCAACCCUGAUCCAGCCAUGCCGCGUGAGUGAUGAAGGCCCUAGGGUUGUAAAGCUCUUUUGUGCGGGAAGAUAAUGACGGCACCGCAAGAAUAAGCCCCGGCUAACUUCGUGCCAGCAGCCGCGGUAAUACGAAGGGGGCUAGCGUUGCUCGGAAUCACUGGGCGUAAAGGGUGCGUAGGCGGGUUUUUAAGUCAGGGGUGAAAUCCUGGAGCUCAACUCCAGAACUGCCUUUGAUACUGAAGAUCUUGAGUCCGGGAGAGGUGAGUGGAACUGCGAGUGUAGAGGUGAAAUUCGUAGAUAUUCGCAAGAACACCAGUGGCGAAGGCGGCUCACUGGCCCGGUACUGACGCUGAGGCACGAAAGCGUGGGGAGCAAACAGGAUUAGAUACCCUGGUAGUCCACGCCGUAAACGAUGAAUGCCAGCCGUUAGUGGGUUUACUCACUAGUGGCGCAGCUAACGCUUUAAGCAUUCCGCCUGGGGAGUACGGUCGCAAGAUUAAAACUCAAGAAAUUGACGGGGGCCCGCACAAGCGGUGGAGCAUGUGGUUUAAUUCGACGCAACGCGCAGAACCUUACCAGCCCUUGACAUCCCGGUCGCGGACUCCAGAGACGGAGUUCUUCAGUUCGGCUGGACCGGAGACAGGUGCUGCAUGGCUGUCGUCAGCCUCGUGUCGUGAGAUGUUGGGUUUA
rnacentral:rRNA from 1 species